rnacentral:rRNA from 1 species
CAAGUCAAGGGGGCCCAGCAAUGGGCAACCGGCGAACGGGUGCGUAACACGUGAGCAACCUACCGAACUGUGGGGGAUAGCCGGCCUAACGGCCGAGUAAUACCGCAUACGCUUUCGAUGAGGCAUUUCAUUGAAAGGAAACCUACGGGACAGAUCGAGGGGCUCGCGGCCUAUCAGCUAGUUGGCGAGGUAACGGCUCACCAAGGCGACGACGGGUAGCUGGUCUGAGAGGAUGGCCAGCCACAUUGGGACUGAGAUACGGCCCAGACUCCUACGGGAGGCAGCAGUGGGGAAUCUUGCGCAAUGGCCUAACGGCUGACGCAGCGACGCCGCGUGUGGGAUGAAGCUCUUCGGAGUGUAAACCACUGUUGCCCGGGACGAAUAGCUCGAUUAAUCGAGCCUGACGGUACCGGGUGAGGAAGCACCGGCUAACUCCGUGCCAGCAGCCGCGGUAAUACGGGGGGUGCGAGCGUUGUCCGGAAUCACUGGGCGUAAAGGGCGCGUAGGUGGUUUGAUAAGGGUGUGGUGAAAGUCCGGGGCUCAACCCCGGAUCUGCCGUGCCGACUGUCAAACUCGAGGGCUGUAGAGGCAGACGGAAUUCCGGGUGUAGCGGUGGAAUGCGUAGAGAUCCGGAGGAAGACCGGUGGCGAAGGCGGUCUGCUGGGCAGUUUCUGACACUGAUGCGCGACAGCGUGGGGAGCAAACAGGAUUAGAUACCCUGGUAGUCCACGCCGUAAACGAUGGGUACUAGGUGCCUGGGGGAGCGACCCUCUGGGUGCAGGCGCUAACGCAGGAAUACCCCGCCUGGGGAGUACGACCGCAAGGUUGAA